CAAUAGCGUAUACUAAUGUUGUUGCAGUUAAAAAGCUCGUGGUUGAACUUCUGGUAGGAGUGUCCCGGCCUUUUUGUUUUUACAAAUUGUAUGCUGUGUGACAUCUCUGGCCAUCCUUCUUCUUUGUUUAAAGAAGAUCUUUCACUGUAAAAAAAUUAGGGUGUUCAAAGCAAAAGUUUCUUUGGAAUAUAUUAGUAUGGGAUGAUAAGAUAGGCUCUAGAUGCUAUUUUGUUGGUUUGCACAUUUAGAGAAUGAUUAACAGGGACAGUUGGGGGUAUUCGUAUUUACAUGUCAGAGGUGAAAUUCUUGGAUUUUGGAAAGACGAACUACUGCGAAAGCAUUUACCAAGGAUGUUUUCAUUAA
rnacentral:rRNA from 1 species